rnacentral:rRNA from 1 species
GGGGGGGGGGGGGGGGGGGGGGGGGGGGGGGAGGGGGGGGGGGCGGGGGGGGGGGGGGCGGGGCGGGGGUGAGCGGCGGGCGGGUGAGUGACACGUGGAUAACCUACCUAUAAGACUGGGAUAACUUCGGGAAACCGGAGCGAAUACCGGAUGAUAUUUUGAACCGCAUGGUUCAAAAGUGAAAGACGGUCUUGCUGUCACUUAUAGAUGGAUCCGCGCUGCAUUAGCUAGUUGGUAAGGUAACGGCUUACCAAGGCAACGAUGCAUAGCCGACCUGAGAGGGUGAUCGGCCACACUGGAACUGAGACACGGUCCAGACUCCUACGGGAGGCAGCAGUAGGGAAUCUUCCGCAAUGGGCGAAAGCCUGACGGAGCAACGCCGCGUGAGUGAUGAAGGUCUUCGGAUCGUAAAACUCUGUUAUUAGGGAAGAACAUAUGUGUAAGUAACUGUGCACAUCUUGACGGUACCUAAUCAGAAAGCCACGGCUAACUACGUG